CCUAUAUCAGCUUGUUUUAGAGAUGUAGCAGUAAGUCUCCCAAGGGGUGCAUCAGUGAUUGUCUCUAUAUCCCAGGGAAACAAGUAGCUGUGGUCCCCUGUUUCUCAUUCACCUUUGGUCUGCUAAGAUAAGAACAAAACCGUUCUCCCUCACCAGCUGCACUUCUGACAAUUCAUGCACCAGUUAAAACAUCACGUCCAAUACUUUCAAUUAUUGCAUGGCAUAGCAACACCUCUUUC